rnacentral:rRNA from 1 species
GGCUCUUUGAAGUAAAUACAUAAAGAGUCGAACCUGCCCAGUGAUUUUUUAAACGGCCGCGGUACUCUGACCGUGCAAAGGUAGCAUAAUCAUUUGCCCUAUAAUUGAGGGCUUGUAUGAACGGUUUGACAAGAGCAUAACUGUCUCUUUAAAAUUUUAUAGAAUUUGGUUUUUAGGUGAAGAAACCUAAAUAAGAUUGAAAGACAAGAAGACCCUAUCGAGCUUUAGAGUAAUUAAUUAAAAAAUAUAAUUAAAAUAAUUAAUUUUAAUUUAAAAACUUUGGUUGGGGCGACUGAGGAACAUAUAAAGCUUCUUCUAUUAAAAUAUGCCUGUAAGCUAUGAUCCAAAAAAUUUGAUUAAAAAAAUUAGUUACCGUAGGGAUAACAGCAUAAUCUUUUUCAAGAGUUCUUAUCGAAAAAAAGGUUUGUGACCUCGAUGUUGGACUAGGAUAUCUUAAAGAUGCAGAAGUCUUUAAAAGUUGGUCUGUUCGACCAUUAAAAUCCU